UCCAGGUGUCUUCUUUUUCGGUCUUCAUCCCGAGCCUUUUUGCUUUUCUUUUUAUCUUUCUAUUUCUCUAUCUCCCGUGCUUUCUAGAGCUGGUGCAGCUCCUUUUUUAUUUAUUUAUAUUUUAUUUUAUUUAUUCAUUGAUUGAUUUUUAUCUAACAAACAACGCAAAGGCUCUUCUCUCUUUCUCUCUCACUCACUUUCUUUCUCUAUACAACUUGGAAGCUUUCUCUCUCUCAAAGCAGCAAGGUCCUCCACCACCACCACCUCCAAUCUCCCUCUUUCACACAGAGAGAGAUACUGUGUGUUCGAACAAGUUUUGGGCUUUUGGUGGUAAUGUGGUGGCUAUGGAUAAGGACUCGUGUGGAGUGGGGUUCGUGGCGGAACUAUCCGGGGAAAGUAGCCGCAAAACGGUGAUUGAUGCUUUGAAGAUGCUGGUGCGCAUGACGCACAGAGGUGCUUACGGUGUGAAGCCAACACUGGAGAUGGAGUAGGGAUCAUGGUGGCUUUACCUCACCAAUUUUACAAGGAGGGUAGCAGAAGCUCUUGAUGCUAAUGUUAAAAGGUGGUCAAGUCUGAAAAAGGAAACUUGAGGGUGUUACCAAGAAAAUUACUAUAUGAACAUUACAUCAAACAUAUAGUGAAGGAAGGAGCUCUUCACUUUCUUUGUAUUGUAGUGUCCUUUCUUAAGUGCUUUGAUUUUGGAGGAUAUUUAAUCUCCAUUUAUCUAUACCUGUUCUAUCCUUAGUCCUUUAUUUUUUUUUCAUUAUUUAAAAAAAUCUUCAAGUUAAGCAGCAUUUACAUAUAUGUUGUUUGAUUCUUUUCAGUACAUAAAUAUGAGAAAUCAGAGGGUAUCAUUCUCUUGAAAAGGAGGUUUACAACCCCUAAUUGGGUUAAGGUCGAUCUGUUAUAUACCCUUUUUUCAAACAUAUAAGACUGAUGAUCGGUUGUCUUUGAAAGAGCUUGAAUCUCUGAAGUUUUUCCUUUGCUUUACAUAGCAUAAGGAACCAAGAGAAGUUCAUAUAUUUGUUGAUCUAUUUCUUCAAGAGGUUGGUAUAUCUGUAUAUUUAAAUCAGUCAUUCUUUUUUGUGUCUUUUCAGUUGUAUUGAAUUGUUUAAGCAUUGUGAUUGAGUAUUAGUCUUAUUAAAUGUUGCUAAUCUGGAAUAUAAUUGUAUCAUAUUUGAUGAAAAUAUAUGGUAAUUGAUUGAAGCAACAACAACAAUAAAAGCCUUAUUCCACUAAGUGGGGUUGACUAUAUUAAUCAUGUGACACCAUUGUUAAAAACCAAAUUUUAAUUGAAGCAAAUUGGAGGAAAAUUUUUAUUUCCAUUAUUUUAUUUCCAACUUGAAAUUAUAGUUAACAAAGUGAAGCAGGUUUUGCCUCAAGGUAGACGUAAGCACUACAUGAUAGUAAUGGAAGUAGUCCUUCAUCAAGGAGCAAUCCCUUGCGGGAGGAGAAACUGGGUAGGUUAAAUACUCAAAGGGCAAGGAGCCAACUUUUGGAAACGCAUCUUGCAAAAUUGUUUAAGCAGAAAGUUGAAAUUUUCACAAAAGUAGAAUAUACACAGGUAUGUCUGAUUAUUAUAUUGGUGAUUUAAAUUUAAAUGAUUCUUUGAGAGCUGUGAUAUCAUUUUCCUUACGAAUGGCAGAAGUCUGUUGUUACAAUUAUAGUUAAAUUGGGUCUUAAAAGUUUACAAGAAUUUGUCCUCUUUAGAUGAUAAAUGAGUACAAUCAUUUGUAUUCUUGUAGGAGGAUUCCUCAAUUCAAAGAACACUUUGGCUGCUUAAACCAUCUCUAUUAGAGAAUGAUAUGCAAAUUAACAAGUAAUUUUUUUUCUAUUCAUUAGA